AAAAUCUCCCAACGUCUCUCUCCAUUGUCCCUGCUCCACUCACUAUUUACUCUGCUCCACUCAACCUGCCUCUCUCUCGUACCAGCAAAAAAUGACAAAAAGAAAGAAUACAAAAGGAGAUUCACCCUUCUCUCUCAAAAUACGCUCCCUCUCUCAGAAAAUCCAACAAAUCUCCCAAAAACCCUAAAGCCUUCAGACACACAAUACCCUCUCUAACAUCCCCCUCACACGACCCACUCUCGGAUUCCAUCCCUUCAACCUCCGAAAUCAUUUCCGCCUCCACCCUCUCUCAUUAUCCUCUCACACAUCCCUCACUCAGCAGAAAACAAAAAAAAUCCUCUCUUCUCUCACUCUUGGACAAACCUCUCUCAACUCUCUCUCAGAAAACCUAGCUCACCUCUCUCAACACCCACGUUUCUCACACUCUGAAAAACCCCCAGCUCACAAAAUUCAUUCCGUUUCUCUCACCCUACCGCCGCCGUCAACCACCAUCUAUCACCUAAACCCUCGCCGUCGCCACCACACCCUCAACCCAAGCCACCGUAAACCCUCCAUCUUCUCUUAACCACCGAAAACCUUCCAAUCGCUUUCGCACCAUCAAAACCGUGAAAACCCACCUUAUACUCCCUCGGAUUCACACACAAACCAACAAAUUGCCACGCAAAACCCAUCUACAACCUCCACGCCGUAACAUCUAAACCAUCAAUCGUCUUCCCCAUUUCAUCCGCCGAAAUACACCGAUUAACCUCCGCCUUGCAAAACCCCCAAAUCCUCACUUCAUUUCGUCCCUUUCGAAAUUCACAAAAAAACCUUUCCGACGAACGUUACAUCGUCACCGUCGCGUUUGAGUUGCAGUUCUGUUUGGUUUAUACCUUGUUUUUAGUUUUCAAUGAACCUUAAAGCAAUUUCCAGGAAGGCUAUUGAACCUGUACAAGUGGGAGAAACAUAUGAGCUGUUGUGAAUUGCACUUGAAGGCCACGGGUAGAAACUCAGUUUCGAAGGGACGUCCCAAACAGCGAAGGAAGGACGAUACGCCCCAACAGACUCAGAGCAGCGGACAGAAAGUGAUAGCUUGGUCUUUGGGAUUAAAUUUGUUUAUAGUUACGGUAACAGUCCGUGUCGUGUUUCUUCUUGAUAUUAUGCUGUUUACUAUUAUUCUCUUUAAGUCUUGCUAAUUGCAUCAUGGUGAUUUCAUAGAAAUAUUGAACUUCAUAUUGAGUUGUAUCGAAGCAGUUUGGCAUUAUUUACAAGGGAUUUGGUACAUGUUAACGAUAUCAUUUUCUUGCUGCAGGAUUAAAUUUGUUUAUAGUUACGGUAACAGUCCGUGUCGUGUUUCUUCUUGAUAUUAUGCUGUUUGCUACAGCCACUGUUUUGAUUCAAACUCGGUUGCAUUAGUCCAUGUUGGUUGUUGGUAUUAGAAUGUUGUAAUGCUCUUUUCUAGGAUAUUCCCGAUGCGAUUGUGCUGUUGUCGUUAUGUGUUGAAGUUGUCGUGUUUAUUACAAGAUUAAUUGAGGAUUUGAUUUCAUACUGUUAUCAAUUGUUUUGUUUGUUGACAUCUUUGGGUAAAACACUAGGAGAAGUUGUAUGUAUUAAAUGAGAGCUUCAGAAUUAAAGUUUAAACUUAUUAUA